UGCAAGUCGAACGGUAACAGGUCUUCGGACGCUGACGAGUGGCGAACGGGUGAGUAAUACAUCGGAACGUGCCCAGUCGUGGGGGAUAACUACUCGAAAGAGUAGCUAAUACCGCAUACGAUCUGAGGAUGAAAGCGGGGGACCUUCGGGCCUCGCGCGAUUGGAGCGGCCGAUGGCAGAUUAGGUAGUUGGUGGGAUAAAAGCUUACCAAGCCGACGAUCUGUAGCUGGUCUGAGAGGACGACCAGCCACACUGGGACUGAGACACGGCCCAGACUCCUACGGGAGGCAGCAGUGGGGAAUUUUGGACAAUGGGCGAAAGCCUGAUCCAGCAAUGCCGCGUGCAGGAUGAAGGCCUUCGGGUUGUAAACUGCUUUUGUACGGAACGAAAAAGCUCCUUCUAAUACAGGGGGCCCAUGACGGUACCGUAAGAAUAAGCACCGGCUAACUACGUGCCAGCAGCCGCGGUAAUACGUAGGGUGCGAGCGUUAAUCGGAAUUACUGGGCGUAAAGCGUGCGCAGGCGGUUAUGUAAGACAGAUGUGAAAUCCCCGGGCUCAACCUGGGAACUGCAUUUGUGACUGCAUGGUUAGAGUACGGUAAAGGGGGAUGGAAUUCCGCGUGUAA
rnacentral:rRNA from 1 species